UGAGGAAUAUUGCGCAAUGGCCGCAAGGCUGACGCAGCGACGCCGCGUGAAGGAUGAAGUCCGUUAGGAUGUAAACUUCUUUUGCAGGGGAUGAAAUCCCCGGUCUACGGGGUGUGACCGUACCCUGCGAAUAAGGAUCGGCCAACUACGUGCCAGCAGCCGCGGUAAUACGUAGGAUCCGAGCGUUGUCCGGAAUUACUGGGUGUAAAGGGCGUGUAGGUGGAUCUCCAAGUCGGUGGUGAAAUCCUGCAGCUUAACUGUAGAACUGCUUCCGAUACUGGAGAUCUUGAGUGCGGCAGAGGGAGAUGGAAUUCAUGGUGUAGCGGUGAAAUGUGUAGAUAUCAUGAAGAACACCGGUAGCGAAGGCGGUCUCCUGGUCCGCAACUGACACUGAGGCGCG
rnacentral:rRNA from 1 species